GAACUCCUAGCUAUAUGUGUCCUGAACUCGUUGCUGAUAUACCUUAUGGCUCUAAAUCAGAUAUUUGGUCCCUUGGAUAUACAGGCCCUGAUUAACAAAAUUAACAAGUCCAUAAUGGCUUCAUUGCCAACAAAAUGUUCUGGUGCAUUGGAAUAGAGGAUUCUGCAGUGCAAAGAGAAGCAUGGCUGGUGCAAAGUGUAUGAUGCUCUGUUGCACGAGCAAGAUUGUCUGGGUAUGUUUUUCAUUUAUUAAACAUUUAAUUCAAUUUUACGUUUCUUUAUAUAUUUUUAAUUCACUUUUUAUUAAAAGAAAAUGUUGGUUGAAUA